GACGAACGCUGGCGGCGUGCUUAACACAUGCAAGUCGAACGAUGAAGCGGGUGCUUGCACUCGUGGAUUAGUGGCGAACGGGCGAGUAACACGUGAGUAACCUGUCCUUUUCUUUGGGAUAACGGCUGGAAACGGCUGCUCAUACUGGAUAUUAAGGUUGCAUCGCAUGGUGUGGUUUGGAAAGGUUUUUUCUGGGAUUGGGUGGGGUUGCGGCUUAUCAGCUUGAUGGUGUGGUGAUGGCUUACCAAGGCUUUGACGGGUAGCCGGCCUGAGAGGGUGGACGGUCGCACAGGCACUGAGAUACGGCCCAGACUCCGACGGGGGGCAGCAGUGUGCGAUAUGGCACAAUGGACGAAAGUGUGAUGCAGCGACACCGCGGAGGGUGUGUAGACCUUCGGAUUGUGAACUCCUUGUUCUCGCGAAAAAUUCACAGUUGUGGCUGUGUUGAUGGUAGUGGGGGAAGAAGCCCCGGCUAACUACGUG
rnacentral:rRNA from 1 species